GGAGGAGCUGCCCCCUCCCACCACAUGCCCGAAUGCAAAGCAACGCAGAUGGAGGCCAUUCUGGGGGUAGCAAAGCUCACCUCUCAGUGAAGAGACUCAGACACACGAAGGCCAAGUGGAGGCUGUAGUUCAUGUUGAGAAGCUGCUCACACCAAGGGGCUGAAGUAGGAAUCACCUGGGAAACAGGGGGCAAGGGCCUCACUCUGUCAUCCAGGCUGAAGUGCAGGGACAUGAUCUCGGUUCACUGCAGCUCAACUUCCCAGGCUCCAGCGAUGCUCCCAACCUUAGCCUCCUGAGUAGCUGGGACUACAGGCAUGUACCACCACACCUGGACGCAGCCUGCCUGCACCCAGGUGAAAUAAACAGCCAUGUUGCUCACACAAAGCCUGUUUGGUGGUCUCUUCACACGGACAUGCAUGAAAUUUGGUGCCGUGACUCGGAUCGGGGGACCUCCCUUGGGAGAUCAAUCCCCUGUCCUCCUGCUCUUUGCUCCGUGAAAAAGAUCCACCUAUGACCUCAGGUCCUCAGACCCACCAGCCCAAGGAACAGCUCACCAAUUUUAAAUAGGAGAAGUUUACAAAACAAGGAGGAAGACUUCUACACCUCACAGCCAGGAUUCCCUGCUCUGGCUCUCGGCUGCUGCCUCAGGGUGAAUCUGUUGCUAGGUCAUCGUGGCAUCUCUGCAGGAUGACAGUGUUUUGGAAACAGUGAGAAACAGAUACUGAGAGAAGUCCCUAGCCUGGGUACCCAGAGAGCCUUUUACCUUCCUCUGGUAGGACUCAAUCCUGGUGUUGGUUACCCUAGACCAGGCCAGUGAAACAGAGUUGAGGUCUCACUAAGUUGCCCAGGCUGGUCUGGAACUCCUGGACUCGAGCAAUCCCCCCGCCUUGGCCUCCCAAAGUGCUGGGCUUACAGACAUGAGCCACCGUGUCCAGCUGACAGGAGGUCUUAACAUCCUUGUUUUUCGGACGAGGAAACUGAGGCGUGGAGAGGUGGAGACUUACACAAGAUCAUAGAGCGAAUAGAGGGCAGAGCUGGAGUCUGAAGUCAGUCUGACCGACCAUGAAACUCACAUGUCAUCCUGACACCAUUCCAAUCCUGUGAGGUAAGGAUUAUCAUCCCUGUUUCAUAGAUGAGGAGACAGGGGCUCAGAGAGGGGGACUUAUGUUCUUGAGGUCACACAGCAUGUCCAUCGCAGCAGUGGGGCUGGAGCCCAGCUUCUCAGACUCCAAGGGCCCCAGGAAAACCUUUCAUCCUGUUUCAGCCAAGCGACUGCACUCAGAGGAAGGCACAGGCCCUGGGAUGACGGGAACCUUUUGUUCUCUGGUCCCUGAUUCCUGACCCCAGUCCCCACCUCCAGCUCUGUGGAGCUGGCAGACGGAGGAACAAGGAGGGACAUCCUGCCUUUCCUGCCCCUUUGUUCCAUGGUCUGGGGCCCUGACUCUGCAAUACCAGGGUGAUCACUGAAUCAAGAAUUAGGAGGCUGGUCCACGUCUUUGUGUCACUCUCCUGACCUUGGGUCACUGAUUUGUAAAGUGCGGAG
rnacentral:lncRNA from 1 species